UACGAAGGGGGCUAGCGUUGUUCGGAUUUACUGGGCGUAAAGCGCACGUAGGCGGAUUGUUAAGUCAGGGGUGAAAUCCUGGAGCUCAACUCCAGAACUGCCCUUGAUACUGGCAAUCUUGAGUCCGGAAGAGGUGAGUGGAACUCCUAGUGUAGAGGUGGAAUUCGUAGAUAUUAGGAAGAACACCAGUGGCGAAGGCGGCUCACUGGUCCGGUACUGACGCUGAGGUGCGAAAGCGUGGGGAGCAAACAGG
rnacentral:rRNA from 1 species